UAAGCUUCGUUUACGGUCUUUAC
rnacentral:siRNA from 1 species